rnacentral:rRNA from 1 species
CUACGGGAGGCAGCAGUGGGGGAUAUUGCACAAUGGGCGCAAGCCUGAUGCAGCGACGCCGCGUGAGUGAAGAAGUAUUUCGGUAUGUAAAGCUCUAUCAGCAGGGAAGAUAGGCCCUUUAAGGGAGAUGACGGUACCUGACUAAGAAGCCCCGGCUAACUACGUGCCAGCAGCCGCGGUAAU